rnacentral:rRNA from 1 species
AACGUAGGUCACAAGCGUUGUCCGGAAUUACUGGGUGUAAAGGGAGCGCAGGCGGGAAGACAAGUUGGAAGUGAAAUCUAUGGGCUCAACCCAUAAACUGCUUUUAAAACUGUUUUUCUUGAGUAGUGCAGAGGUAGGCGGAAUUCCCGGUGUAGCGGUGGAAUGCGUAGAUAUCGGGAGGAACACCAGUGGCGAAGGCGGCCUACUGGGCACCAACUGACGCUGAGGCUCGAAAGUGUGGGUAGCAAACAGG